rnacentral:rRNA from 1 species
UGGGGAAUAUUGCACAAUGGGCGCAAGCCUGAUGCAGCCAUGCCGCGUGUAUGAAGAAGGCCUUCUGGUUGUAAAGUACUUUCAGCGGGGAGGAAGGGAGUAAAGUUAAUACCUUUGCUCAUUGACGUUACCCGCAGAAGAAGCACCGGCUAACUCCGUGCCAGCAGCCGCGGUAAUACGGAGGGUGCAAGCGUUAAUCGGAAUUACUGGGCGUAAAGCGCACGCAGGCGGUUUGUUAAGUCAGAUGUGAAAUCCCCGGGCUCAACCUGGGAACUGCAUCUGAUACUGGCAAGCUUGAGUCUCGUAGAGGGGGGUAGAAUUCCAGGUGUAGCGGUGAAAUGCGUAGAGAUCUGGAGGAAUACCGGUGGCGAAGGCGGCCCCCUGGACGAAGACUGACGCUCAGGUGCGAAAGCGUGGGGAGCAAACA